AACGCGAAGAACCUUACCUGGAUUUGACAUCCUCUGACAAACGUAGAGAUACGGAUUCUGUAGUAAUACAGCAGAGAGACAGGUGCUGCAUGGCUGUCGUCAGCUCGUGUGGUGACAUGUUGGGUUAAGUCCCGCAACGAGCGCAACCCCUGUCUUUAGUUGCCAUCAUUCAGUUGGGCACUCUAAAGAGACUGCCGUGGUGAACACGGAGGAAGGUGGGGAUGACGUCAAGUCCUCAUGGCCUUUAUAUCCAGGGCGACACACGUGAUACAAUGGACGGUACAAAGGGACGCCAAGAGGCAACUCGGAGCUAAUCUCAAAAAGCCGUUCUCAGUUCGGAUUGGAGUCUGCAACUCGACUCCAUGAAGUUGGAAUCGCUAGUAAUCGCGGAUCAGCACGCCGCGGUGAAUACGUUCCCGGGCCUUGUACACACCGAGACGAC
rnacentral:rRNA from 1 species